CCCUUAGAUGUUCUGGGCCGCACGCGCGCUACACUGAUUCAUGCAACAAGUUUUGUCCUUGGCUGAUAGGCCUGGGUAAUCUUUGAACGUGAAUCGUGAUGGGGAUAGAUGAUUGCAAUUAUUCGUCUUCAACGAGGAAUUCCUAGUAAACGCAAGUCAUCAACUUGCAUUGAUUACGUCCCUGCCCUUUGUACACACCGCCCGUCGCACCUACCGAUUGAAUGGUCCGGUGAAGCCUCCGGAUUGGCGCGCACCUCGGUGCCGCCGAGAAGUUGGCUAAACCUUACCAUUUAGAGGAAGGUGAAGUCGUAACA
rnacentral:rRNA from 1 species